rnacentral:rRNA from 1 species
UACGUAGGGGGCAAGCGUUGUCCGGAGUUUAUUGGGCGUAAAGAGCGUGUAGGCGGCCAGGUAGGUCUGCUGUGAAAACUCGAGGCUUAACCUCGAGCUGUCGGCGGAAACCAUCUGGCUAGAGUCCGGAAGAGGAGAAUGGAAUUCCUAGUGUAGCGGUGAAAUGCGCAGAUAUCAGGAGGAACACCAAUGGCGAAGGCAGCUCGCUGGGACGUGACUGACGCUGAGACGCGAAAGCGUGGGGAGCAAACAGG